rnacentral:lncRNA from 1 species
CAGCUAUAAACCUUUCGGUUCAUCAGUCAGCUCUUUUACACAGACAACGCUGAACAGUCUUUAAUUCAAAUGCAUUUAUAACAAGUAAGCAUUUCAGAAUCUUAACUAUGGGGAGAAGAGUGAAACACAGGCAUUCAUUUCCUCCUCCAUCUUCCUGAGAAGGCACGGUUACUUCGGACAGCAAACAAAUUAACCAGUACAGAAGACAUCCACAAACUAAAGGCUUUUGUUUUUAUUUAGAUAUCAGCUAUGUAGUAGAGUACAUUCAGGAAGUACUUGCAUCAGUUUGGCAUUUCUCAAGCACCUGACAGCUGCUCCUUUUACAUAUAACAAUUAUCCCCUUUUUUUCGUGCAGCUUAGUUAAAACCUACUGGCUGACUCAGGUAUUAAUGAAUCCACUGCUACACAAACAAAGCAGAAAAUCAUUCUUUGGUUGUACCACUAAAUCAUUAGUAUCAUUAGUGGCACAACCCACUGCUGUACCACUACUGAUACUAAUAAUGUCUUCGUUAUUAGAUACAGAGAUAAAAUUGUAAUUCAGUUAAUUGGAAUACGACAGUAAAAAGUCAAAAUAUCCCCAAGUUGUGUUCAGGAAAGGAUGCAUGAAGUAAUUUUAGCCAAAACUGGAAUUUACUUUCACCAGUAGCACUGCAAGAUUGUCUCUAAAAGAGAAUGUAUGAUAAAAGGAAGACACUACAUUUUGUUGUGACUAAA